CAGUUGGAAACGGCUGCUAAUACCGCAUAAGCGCACGGUUCCGCAUGGAACAGUGUGAAAAACUCCGGUGGUACAGGAUGGAUUCGCGUCUGAUUAGCCAGUUGGUGGGGUAACGGCCUACCAAAGCAACGAUCAGUAGCCGGCCUGAGAGGGUGAACGGCCACAUUGGGACUGAGACACGGCCCAAACUCCUACGGGAGGCAGCAUG
rnacentral:rRNA from 1 species